rnacentral:rRNA from 1 species
UGGGGAAUUUUGGACAAUGGGCGAAAGCCUGACCCAGCAAUGCCGCGUGUGUGAAGAAGGCCUUCGGGUUGUAAAGCACUUUUGUCCGGAAAGAAAUGGCUCUGGUUAAUACCUGGGGUCGAUGACGGUACCGGAAGAAUAAGGACCGGCUAACUACGUGCCAGCAGCCGCGGUAAUACGUAGGGUCCAAGCGUUAAUCGGAAUUACUGGGCGUAAAGCGUGCGCAGGCGGUUGUGCAAGACCGAUGUGAAAUCCCCGAGCUUAACUUGGGAAUUGCAUUGGUGACUGCACGGCUAGAGUGUGUCAGAGGGGGGUAGAAUUCCACGUGUAGCAGUGAAAUGCGUAGAGAUGUGGAGGAAUACCGAUGGCGAAGGCAGCCCCCUGGGAUAACACUGACGCUCAUGCACGAAAGCGUGGGGAGCAAACAGGAUUAGAUACCCUGGUAGUCCACGCCCUAAACGAUGUCAACUAGUUGUUGGGGAUUCAUUUCCUUAGUAACGUAGCUAACGCGUGAAGUUGACCGCCUGGGGAGUACGGUCGCAAGAUUAAAAGCU